rnacentral:rRNA from 1 species
AAAGGUUGACCUCGAAUCAGGUAGGAAUACCCGCUGAACUUAAGCAUAUCAAUAGSSGGAGGAAA